GACCAGGCUCCUCCCCGCUGCAAACAGCGCGAAAUUCUGUGGCUCCACCCCAGCGCACUGCUCCCAGUGUGCAGUCCGGCUGGAGUUUUUCUGGGGAUCCUUUCCUACCUGGCUGUCUCAAUAAGAACUGAGGUUUCUGAUAGCUUUGGAGAUUGUAACAUCAGAAUAGAGGAAAAACUUCCAGGACUCUCAUGGAGAGCUGAAAUAUUCAUGAAUAUCAAGAAGAACAGGAGUUAACCACAUGAACUGGACUAAUAAAAGAUGGAAGUAAUUAUUUUUUGACUUUGCUUAAAAACAUUGCCCAUCCUUUGUUUUGUUUUCAGAGUCAAGGAAACUUUUCAUUUGAGUUGUCUACAGAUUUUAACAAUUGUGUAAAGUGUACUCCUGUGAGUAACAUUUACAGCAUAUUUGUUUCUCUCUACCUGAUUUCUCCAAAAUUUGGAAACUAUUUGUAUCUUAAAUUGUGGCAAUAUAUUUAUUUGCAUAAGUUCCAUAAGAAUGUUUUAUUUUGCAACAGGACACAAGUGGAUAAAUUGUUUAUUUUACAAGGCUUUGACUAGAAUGGCAUGCUUUCUUUUAAGGAAUCAAAUUUGACAUGGAGAGCCAAUAGAAGCCCCUUGGGAAAACUGGCCUCAUACCUUGUCUAUAGAGUUCCUAUACGGGGUUCCUGACCUGGGAUAAGUAAAGAAUAUUACUUUCUGACAGGCCCAGGAGCCCCAAGUUAUCUUGGGACCUCAAGAGGAGAGGAAUUUACCCAACUCAUAGGUAUUUGACAGUACAACCCCAUCACUGGGCUCAGUUUUAAAAGAAAAAUGUCUUGUAUGAGAUUUCUUAUGGAACAGAGUUCAAUCAAAGUCAAUUUAGAAAGCCUAUGUGAAAAAUAGUUAUUCUUGCUCCACUUUAUUCAAAUAAUCAGGCCAAGUUUAAUAAAGCAAGCCAGUCUUACUAUGAUUUAUUUUUAGUGAAAAUGGGAGACUGGAGAAAUAAACUAUAUUUCAAGAACUAUGGUACACUCAUUAUUAGAUUCUAGUCUCAUCAGAUGUGGAAUAUAUUUGCUAUUGUACUCUUUGUGUAGGAAUGAAGGGUAAGCUUACUCAAUAUUUUCUUAAAUUGAAUACUUAAUAAAUUAUAAGCUUUUGUAGGAACUCAGAGGUAUGAAUGACCUUCACCAUACUGACACUUUAUGACUGGGCUCCUCUCUACCUGUAAUACAAGAGACCCCAAUAGCUAGGCAGGAAUAAUAUCACCCCUAUUCAGCCUGAAGAAGUUACAGAAGAUGGAUCUUUGCUCCUCUACAACUCUUAGGAUUAAGGGAUCUCUUAUAAAAGAGAUGGGGAAAAUGUCAGAGGUGUUGGAACCAGAGCAACUCCAUCUUAAAUAGGGGCUGGAUAAAAUAAGGCUGAGGCAUACUGGGCUGUAUUCCCAGAUGGUUAGGCCUUCUAAGUCACAGAAUGAGAUAGGAGGUUGGCACAAGAUACAGGUCAUAAAAACCUUGCUGAUAAAACUGGUUUCAGUAAAGAAGCUGGCUAAAACCCAGCAAAACCAAGAUGGUAAUGAGAAUGACCUCUGGUUGUCCUCACUGCUACACUCUCAUCAGUGCCAUAACAAUUUAUAAAUGCCAUGGCAAUGUGAGGAAGUUACCCUAUAUGGUCUAAAAAGGGGAGGAACCUCAGCUCUGGGAAUUGCCCACCGCUUUCCUGGAAAACUAAUGAAUACUAAAAAUGGGCAACCAUUUUUAUGGUUAUUUCUUGAUUAGUCAUUCUUUUAUUCCUUUACUUUCUUAAUAAACUUGUUUUCACUUUGCUUUAUGGACUCGCCUCAAAUUCUUUCUUCUGUGAAAUCCAAGAGACCUCUCUUGAGGUCUGGAUUGGGACCCCUUUCCAGUUAUACUACCAGUUCUAGCCUACUAGAAACGGUAAAAAAUCAGAAAGAACAGAUAUGAUAAAGGGUCAGAGACUUGAUUCUAUAAAAAUUAAUAAAGAACACAGUAAAUGGAUUAAAUAAAAGUAAAAUUAAAUGGGUUAUUUUAAUUUUAAUUGCUCUAAAAGAUAACACAAAAAUAGAAGUAUUUUUGUGUUAUUAGCAUAUACAAAACUAAAAUAUAUUACAAAAAUAUCACCAAGAAUGUGAGGGAAGAAUUGAACAAAUACUGUAAUAAGUUUCUUCACAAUAAAAAAAAAAUUCAAAAUCAACAAAUUUUUGCUCUGUCAUCAGAGAACUGAGGUCAUAGGACAAACGGCUGCCCUGAACACUGGAGAGACAGACAGCUUACUGGACAAAAGUUUAGGAGCAGAAGCCCACAAUUGGAUUUAGUAUUGGUUAGAACACUUUAACUUUAAUUGACAUAUUGCUGGAGGUUAAGUGUAGACAGACUUGACAGGAGGCCCAGUGGGUAUAAUCAAAUUCAACUUUAUGAAAUUUUGCCACAUUUCUCCCUAAAAUAGUUAUACCUCUAUAUAUCUGUACCCUAUGUGUCUGAGAAUACACAAGACUCUACAUUGCUGCUAACACUUUGUACUGUCAAACUUUGUUUUGCUAUGUUCAUAAUAAACAAGACAUGGUAACAGUGUGAUUUUGAGUUUUCCUGAUUAUAAAUGAGAUUGAGAAUUCAUCCAUAUUUUUCAGUCAUGUAAGUGACUUGUGUGAAUUGACUGCCUAUAUCCUUCACUUAUUUUUCAUUUUUUAAAAUACGUUGAUUUGUAGAAGUUGUUUAUAUGUUCCAGAAACUAAUCACUUCAUGUUUAUAUGCACUGAAACUACAUUCCCUAACUGUCAUUAGUUUAUUGUUAAAUUGUGGAAAUAGUGUCAUUAUACAAACUUUUUUAAUACUCAAAUUUAUCAGUACAAUUAUCAGUCUUUUCCUUUAUGCUUGUACUUUCUUCAUGUCAGGAAAUUUUGACUUAAACUAAUUCAACAAAAUACUUACCAAAAUGUUCUUAAAAUAUUUUUAAGUUUUGCCUUUCACAUUUAGGUCUGUGAUCUUUUUGCUAAUCACUGAUUUGUUAUUUCUUUUGGUUUCUGUUUGUUUUUAUGCUACAAUUAAAGGCUCAGUUAUUUUCCCAUUUAGAGAAUCUGUAGUCCCAAUACCAGUUUUAAAAAAUUUUUCUUGUCUAUUUAAAAAAUAUAUUAUAUGUUGACAAAUUACAGUUGUAUACAUUUACAAAGUACAAAGUGGUAUUACAAUUUUUAAUACAAUGUGAAAAAUUAAACUACUUAGCAUAUAUAUAACCACAGAUAUUUAAUAUUUUUUUGUGAUGAGAAUGUUAAACAUUUACUCUUUUAGUGAUACUGAAAUCACUCUUUUAGUGAUACUUAGUGCACUGGGGUGAACAUGGCUCACUUCAGUCUAGACCUUCCAGGCUCAAGUGAUCCUCCUACCUCAGCUUCCAGAGUAGCUGGGACCCCAGAUGUGCACCACAUUUCCUGGUUGUUAAAAAUAUAUAUAAGUAUGUAUUUUGUAGAGACAGGGUCUCUCUAUGUUGCCCAGGCUACUCUCGAACUACUGGGCUUAAGUGAUUCUCCUGCCUCUGCCCCUCAAAGUGUUGGGAUUACACACAUGAGUCAUCAUACCAAGCCUUGCUAAUUUAUUAAUCAUAUUAUUGUUUUAUGUCAUCAAAACAUUGAGUUGUUGUAAAUAAAAUAGAAGUAAUGCCUUAGUUUUCUUCUUUUGAAAAAUAUUAUUUUUUCAUGUGAUUAAGGAAUAUUAGUGUUUAUUUCUGUGUAUCCUGUAUGCAUUUAUAAUUCUCUCUUUGCACAAUUUAUAUGUCUUGACUUUUUAAAUGUUGUUGUUUUCUUAAUUUGUAUAAGCUCUUUCUAUAUCAGGAAUAUUACAUAUUGUUUGUGAUAUAAAAAUUAUAACUUUUCCAAUUUGACUUUCCAUUGGUUAUUUCACCUAUUUUUUUAUUUUUAGAUAAUAGAAUUUAUUAAAAGCAAGCAAAAAGUAGUGAAUAAUAAACAUGAGAAGAGAAAUAAAU
rnacentral:lncRNA from 10 species